CAAUAGCGUAUAUUAAAGUUGUUGCAGUUAAAAAGCUCGUAGUUGGAUUUCGGGGUGGCCUGGCUGGUCCGCCGCAAGGUGAGUACUGGUCAACCGCCCUUCCUCUCGAAAGCCCCGACUGCUCUUUACUGCAGUGGUCGGGUAGUUCGGGACGUUUACUUUGAAAAAAUUAGAGUGUUCAAGGCAGGCUAUCGCCUGAAUACAUUAGCAUGGAAUAAUGGAAGAGGACCUCGGUCCUAUUUUGUUGGUUUCUAGGGCCGAAGUAAUGAUUAAGAGGGACAGUUGGGGGCAUUCGUAUUUAAUUGUCAGAGGUGAAAUUCUUGGAUUUAUGAAAGACGAACUAGUGCGAAAGCAUUUGCCAAGGAUGUUUUCAUUAA
rnacentral:rRNA from 1 species